AACGAACGCUGGCGGCAUGCCUAACACAUGCAAGUCGAACGAGAUCUUCGGGUCUAGUGGCGCACGGGUGCGUAACGAGUGGGAAUCUGCCCUUUGGUUCGGAAUAACAGUUGGAAACGACUGCUAAUACCGGAUGAUGACGAAAGUCCAAAGAUUUAUCGCCAGAGGAUGAGCCCGCGUAGGAUUAGCUAGUUGGUGUGGUAAAGGCGCACCAAGGCGACGAUCCUUAGCUGGUCUGGGAGGAUGAUCAGCCACACUGGGACUGAGACACGGCCCAGACUCCUACGGGAGGCAGCAGUGGGGAAUAUUGGACAAUGGGCGAAAGCCUGAUCCAGCAAUGCCGCGUGAGUGAUGAAGGCCUUAGGGUUGUAAAGCUCUUUUACCCGGGAUGAUAAUGACAGUACCGGGAGAAUAAGCUCCGGCUAACUCCGUGCCAGCAGCCGCGGUAA
rnacentral:rRNA from 1 species